GAAUUGAUCUGGUCAGAACGAACGCUGGCGGCAUGCCUAAUACAUGCAAGUCGAACGGAGAUAGCAAUAUCGUUAGUGGCGAACGGGUGCGUAACACGUGAGCAACCUGCCUUAUACAUCGGAAUAACAGCUGGAAACGGCUGCUAAUACCGGAUAAGACCACACCAAGGCAUCUUGGAGAGGUCAAAGCGAAUUAGCGGUAUAAGAUGGGCUCGCGUCCAAUUAGCUAGUUGUGGGGUAACGGCCCACCAAGGCAACGAUUGGUAGCCGACUUGAGAGAGUGAUCGGCCACACUGGAACUGAGACACGGUCCAGACUCCUACGGGAGGCAGCAGUAGGGAAUAUUGGGCAAUGGAAGGAAACUCUUACCCAGCAAUGCCGCGUGAAUGAUGAAGGUCUUAUGGUUUGUAAAGUUCUUUAAUUGGGGACGAAAGAAAUGACGGUACCCAAAGAAUAAGCCCCGGCUAACUACGUGCCAGCCGCAGC
rnacentral:rRNA from 1 species